rnacentral:rRNA from 1 species
UAUGUGAUCGUCUCUCGCAUAUCAAUAAGCGGAGGAAAAGAAACUAACAAGGAUUCCCCUAGUAACGGCGAGUGAAGCGGGAAGAGCUCAAAUUUGAAAUCUUAAAGGGUUUCCCUUUACGAAUUGUAGUUUAAAGAAGUGUUUUCUGUUGAGGUUUUGGUAAAAGUUCUUUGGAAUAGGACAUCAUAGAGGGUGAGAAUCCCGUAUUUGACCUUUACUUUCAACUUUGUGAUACACUUUCAAGAGAGUCGGAUUGUUUGGGAAUGCAGUCCAAAAUGGGUGGUAAAUUUCAUCUAAAGCUAAAUAUUGGCGAGAGACCGAUAGCGAACAAGUACCGUGAGGGAAAGAUGAAAAGAACUUUGAAAAGAGAGUUAAACAGUACGUGAAAUUGUCAAAAGGGAAGCGUUUGACACCAGUGUUGUUUUUCUGAAAAGUCAAUUAAAGAACUGUUUAUGCUAAGCUUGUUUAGACUUUAUCAGCUAUCUGUUUAGUUUUGAGCUUUUCUUUAAUGCACUUUUCAGUUAACAAGUCAACAUCAAUUUCUUUUGCUGUAAAAGAAGCUUGAGGAAGGUGGCUUGAGAUUCGUCUUAAGUGUUUAUAGCCUCUUGCCUAUGCAGUCGGAGAGAUUGAGGUCUGCAGCGUAGAUCCUUCGGGGCUAAACGCAUUUGUGCUAAGUUAUAGCAUUUUAUAGACAACUUGUUGACUAUGAUUUGUCUUGUAGCUUACUCGCUUAUGUUAUUUUACCUACGCUUAGGAUGUUGAGUCGUAGAGCACGCAG